rnacentral:rRNA from 1 species
AAACCAACCGGGAUUGCCUUAGUAACGGCGAGUGAAGCGGCAAAAGCUCAAAUUUGAAAUCUGGUACCUUCGGUGCCCGAGUUGUAAUUUGUAGAAGGUAACUUUGGGGCUGGUCCUUGUCUAUGUUCCUUGGAACAGGACGUCAUAGAGGGUGAGAAUCCCGUGUGGCGAGGAUCCCAGUUCUUUGUAAAGUGCUUUCGAAGAGUCGAGUUGUUUGGGAAUGCAGCUCUAAGUGGGUGGUAAAUUCCAUCUAAAGCUAAAUAUUGGCGAGAGACCGAUAGCGAACAAGUACAGUGAUGGAAAGAUGAAAAGAACUUUGAAAAGAGAGUGAAAAAGUACGUGAAAUUGUUGAAAGGGAAGGGCAUUUGAUCAGACAUGGUGUUUUGCGCCCUCUGCUCCUUGUGGGUGGGGGAAUCUCGCAGCUCACUGGGCCAGCAUCAGUUUUGGCGGCAGGAUAAAUCUGCAGGAACGUGGCUUGCCUCGGUAAGUGUUAUAGCCUGUAGGAAUACUGCCAGCUGGGACUGAGGACUGCGACUUUUAGUCAAGGAUGCUGGCAUAAUGGUUAUAUGCCGC